AGAGUUUGAUCCUGGCUCAGGAUGAACGCUAGCGGCAGGCCUAAUACAUGCAAGUCGAACGGAUCUGAAGACUUCGGUUUUCAGAUUAGUGGCGCACGGGUGCGUAACGCGUAUGCAACCUACCUUUUAUUGGGGGAUAGCCCGUCGAAAGACGGAUUAAUACCGCAUAAUAUCACUUGAUGGCAUCUGAAGGUGAUUAAAGCUACGGCGAUAGAAGAUGGGCAUGCGUGACAUUAGCUAGUUGGUUGAGGUAACGGCUCACCAAGGCGACGAUGUCUAGGGGUUCUGAGAGGAUGAUCCCCCACACUGGUACUGAGAUACGGACCAGACUCCUACGGGAGGCAGCAGUAGGGAAUAUUGGGCAAUGGAUGCAAGUCUGACCCAGCCAUGCCGCGUGCAGGAUGAAGGCCUUCUGGGUUGUAAACUGCUUUUAUCUAGGAAGAAAAAACUCUUGCGAGAGGAACUGACGGUACUAGACGAAUAAGCACCGGCUAACUCCGUGCCAGCAGCCGCGGUAAUACGGAGGGUGCAAGCGUUGCCCGGAUUUAUUGGGUUUAAAGGGUGCGUAGGCGGCCUUAUAAGUCAGUGGUGAAAGCCCAUCGCUCAACGAUGGAACUGCCAUUGAUACUGUAAGGCUUGAGUACAGACGAGGUAGGCGGAAUUGAUGGUGUAGCGGUGAAAUGCAUAGAUACCAUCAAGAACACCGAUUGCGUAGGCAGCUUACUAGGCUGUAACUGACGCUGAGGCACGAAAGCGUGGGGAGCGAACAGGAUUAGAUACCCUGGUAGUCCACGCUGUAAACGAUGAUUACUCGAUGUUGGCGAUACACAGUCAGCGUCUUAGCGAAAGCGUUAAGUAAUCCACCUGGGGAGUACGCCCGCAAGGUGAAACUCAAGGAUUGGCGG
rnacentral:rRNA from 1 species